rnacentral:rRNA from 1 species
UACGUAGGGCGCAAGCGUUGUCCGGAAUUAUUGGGCGUAAAGAGCUCGUAGGCGGCUUGUCACGUCGGGUGUGAAAGCCCGGGGCUUAACCCCGGGUCUGCAUUCGAUACUGGCGGGCUCGAGGCCGGUAGGGGGAAGUGGAAUUCCCGGUGUAGUGGUGGAAUGCGUAGAUAUCGGGAGGAACACCAGUGGCGAAGGCGGCUUCCUGGACCGGUUCUGACACUGAGGAGCGAAAGCGUGGGGAGCGAUCCGG